rnacentral:tRNA from 1 species
GCACCGGUGGUUCAGUGGUGGAGUGCUCGCUUGCCACGCGGGCGACUAGGGUUCGAUUCCCGGUAGGUACU